GGUGGUUCUUGGGUGACGCACCCUGGAAUCGGCUCCCUCUUCUCUGGUUCUGGGUCUACCACCUGAGAACUGCU
rfam:Myotis brandtii contig310019, whole genome shotgun sequence.